rnacentral:rRNA from 1 species
UACGGAGGGUGCAAACGUUGCUCGGAAUCAUUGGGCGUAAAGCGCACGUAGGCGGUCGCUAUGUCGGAUGUGAAAGCCUCGGGCUUAACCCGAGAAGGGCAUCCGAAACUGGCCGGCUUGAGUACGGAAGAGGGUCUCGGAAUUCCCGGUGUAGGAGGUGAAAUUCGUAGGAUAUCGGGAGGAACACCAGUGGCGAAGGGCGGCGAUCUGGGAAGAUACUGGACGCUGAGGUGGCG